CAGCCGUAAACAAUGUGCGUUAGGUGUGUCGGUAACCACGUGUUACUGAUGCGCCGAAGAGAGAUCGUGAAACGCACCACCUGGGAAGUACGGUCGCAAGGCUGAAACUUAAAGGAAUUGGCGGGGGAGCACCGCAACGGGAGGAGCGUGCGGUUUAAUUGGAUUCAACACCGUAAAACUCACCAGGGAAGACUGUUACAUGAAGGCCGAGAUGAAGACUCUGCUAGAUUUCAGAGAGGAGGUGCAUGGCGUCAGUGACU
rnacentral:rRNA from 1 species